rnacentral:rRNA from 1 species
GAUGGACGCUGGCGGCGUGCCUAAUACAUGCAAGUCGAGCGAACAGACGAGGAGCUUGCUCCUCUGACGUUAGCGGCGGACGGGUGAGUAACACGUGGAUAACCUACCUAUAAGACUGGGAUGACUUCGGGAAACCGGAGCUAAUACCGGAUAACAUGUUGAACCGCAUGGUUCAACAGUGAAAGACGGUCUUGCUGUCACUUAUAGAUGGAUCCGCGCCGCAUUAGCUAGUUGGUAAGGUAACGGCUUACCAAGGCAACGAUGCGUAGCCGACCUGAGAGGGUGAUCGGCCACACUGGAACUGAGACACGGUCCAGACUCCUACGGGAGGCAGCAGUAGGGAAUCUUCCGCAAAGGGCGAAAGCCUGACGGAGCAACGCCGCGUGAGUGAUGAAGGUCUUCGGAUCGUAAAACUCUGUUAUUAGGGAAGAACAAAUGUGUAAGUAACUAUGCACGUCUUGACGGUACCUAAUCAGAAAGCCACGGCUAACUACGUG